rnacentral:rRNA from 1 species
CGCUCCUUGAUUUUAACUAAUAAGGAGUCGGACCUGCCCAGUGAUAAGUAUUUAACGGCCGCGGUACUCUGACCGUGCAAAGGUAGCAUAAUCAUUUGCCCUAUAAUUGAGGGCUAGUAUGAAUGGUUUGACAAGAACAAUACUGUCUCUUUCAAAANUUUCUAGAAUUUAUUCUUUAGGUGAAGAAACCUAAAUAAAAUUAAAAGACAAGAAGACCCUAUCGAGCUUAAACUCUUUUUAUAAAAUAAAAAAAAUUAAUAAUAUUUUUUGUUAUAAAAAAUUUUGGUUGGGGCGACUAAGGAACAAAAAAAGCUUCUUUAUUUAAUAAAGACAAAUAUGUAUUGAUCCAUAAAANUCUUGAUUAAAAGAAUUAGUUACCGUAGGGAUAACAGCAUAAUCUUUUUUAAGAGUUCUUAUCGAAAAAAAGGUUUGUGACCUCGAUGUUGGACUAAAAUUUCCUAAUAGAUGCAGACGUCUUUAAGGG